rnacentral:rRNA from 1 species
GAUGAACGCUGGCGGCGUGCCUAAUACAUGCAAGUCGAGCGAACAGACGAGGCGCUUGCUCCUCUCACGUUAGCGGAGCACGGGUGAGUAACACGUGUAUAACCUACCUAUAAGAGUGGUAUAACUUCGGGAAACCGGAGCUAAUACCGGAUAAGAUACUGAAGCGCAUGGUUGAAUAGUGAAAGACGGUUGUGCUGGCUCUACUAGAUGGAUCCGGGCCGCAUUAGCUAGUUGGUAAGGUAACGGCUUACCAAGGCAACGAUGCGUAGCCGAAGUGAGAGAGUGAUCGGCCACACUGGAGCUGAGACAGGGACCAGAGUCCUACGGGAGGCAGCAGUAGGGUACCUGCCGCAGUGGUCGGAAGCCUGGCGGAGUAGCGCCGAGUGUGUGAUGGAGGUCUUCGGAUCGUAAAGAUGUGUUACUAGGGGAGAACAAAUGUGUAAGUAACUGUGCACGGCUUGACGGUACCGGGUCAGAAAGCCACGGCUAACUACGUG